rnacentral:lncRNA from 1 species
CCAUUCUCAGUUCCUUGAGUAUGAUGAUAUUCACCAGUUAUCACCAUGGUACCUCCCCAACGUAUAUCUCUUUGGUGUACCCGACGUCCUAAGCAAAGAAUGAUGCUCGCAAUAUUCAAUUGUCGUUGGUUGGAAGUCCGAAGAAACCAUGCUUUAAUUGGUUGAUUAGCACCAAUGUCAUGUCCUGAAGUUCAAUCUGAC